GAUGAAGAACGUAGCGAAAUGCGAUAAGUAAUGUGAAUUGCAGAAUUCAGUGAAUCAUCGAAUCUUUGAACGCACAUUGCGCCCCUUGGUAUUCCGAGGGGCAUGCCUGUUCGAGCGUCAUUAUAACCCCUCAAGCUCAGCUUGGUGUUGGGGCCUGCUGCACUGGCAGCCCUUAAAAUCAGUGGAGGCGCCAUCUGGCUCUAAGCGUAGUAAUUCUUCUCGCUAUGGAGUCCUGGUGGAUGCUUGCCAUCAACCCCCAAUUUUUCUAUGGUUGACCUCGGAUCAGGUAGGGAUACCCGCUGAACUUAAGCAUAUCAAUAAGCGGAGGA
rnacentral:misc_RNA from 1 species